UACGAAGGGGGCUAGCGUUGCUCGGAAUCACUGGGCGUAAAGCGCACGUAGGCGGCUUUGUAAGUAAGAGGUGAAAGCCUGGUGCUCAACACCAGAACUGCCUUUUAGACUGCAUCGCUUGAAUCAUGGAGAGGUGAGUGGAAUUCCGAGUGUAGAGGUGAAAUUCGUAGAUAUUCGGAAGAACACCAGUGGCGAAGGCGGCUCACUGGACAUGUAUUGACGCUGAGGUGCGAAAGCGUGGGGAGCAAACAGG
rnacentral:rRNA from 1 species